AGAAAACCAGAGUGCUUAAAGCAGGCGCAAGACGCCCGAAUGACUGUGCAUGGAAUAAUGGAAGAGGAUCUCGCUUCUGUCUUUGUUGGUUCCUCGGAAGGCGAGAUAAUGAUUAAUAGAAGCAGUCGGGGGCAUUCGUAUUGCGACGUUAGAGGUGAAAUUCUUGGAUCGUCGCACGACGAACUACUGCGAAAGCAUUUGCCAAGAAUGUUUUCGUUAAUCAAGAACGAAAGUUAGAGGUUCGAAGGCGAUCAGAUACCGCCCUAGUUCUAACCAUAAACGAUGCCGACUGGCGAUCUGUCCUAGUUACUCGCACGACUGGACAGGCAGCCUCCGGGAAACCAAAGUCUUUGGGUUCCGGGGGAAGUAUGGUUGCAAAGCUGAAACUUAAAGGAAUUGACGGAAGGGCACCACCAGGAGUGGAGCCUGCGGCUUAAUUUGACUCAACACGGGAA
rnacentral:rRNA from 1 species